rnacentral:lncRNA from 1 species
CUGCCAGGAUGAGGCUGCUGUGUGGCCUGUGGCUGUGGCUCUCCUUGCUGAAAGUCCUGCAGGCCCAGACCCCAACCCCCCUGCCACUCCCGCCCCCGAUGCAGAGCUUCCAAGGAAACCAGGCUGGUCACCCCAGGCCAGCGUCUGUUGAAGGAUGAAGCAGCUCCUGUCCGGCCCAGCCCUGCCUCACAGCUGUGCGAGCUCUGCCCUCCUCAGCUCUCAAACCUGAAUAAAUGCACCAAGCCCAG